rnacentral:lncRNA from 1 species
UGAAAUGAAAAAGAAAAUAUUAUAGCAUAUGGAAAGUAAUUUGGGAUUCAAGGAGAGAUUUAUUUUUCUUUAAUAUGGGAGAUGCCAGAGAAUGUUUGAAUACUCACGUACAACAAUGUGUAGAAAGGGAAGAUAUAGUCAAUGGAUGUGACUAAAAAAUGAGUAAGAUAGGAUCCCAAAUACAAUAAGAGUGCUAGGAUUAUAGAAGAAGGGAAACCAAACUCUGACAUCCAUUAUAACAAGAGUGAAUAAAGAGAGUAUUGGUGACUGUUCAGGUUAAGUUUACAGUUUGGUGAUGAGAUGAGUUGAGUUCUUAUCUGAUGGCUUCAAGAUUUUACAAAAUAGUAAUUGAGGUCAUCAGCUAAAAAGUGUGAUGAAAAGAUGAAGGGAGUGAGAGGUUUGAUUAGUGUGGAAAAUGCAUUAAAAAGUCAUUGAUAUAAAUAUUUUAGCACCAUAUGAAAAUAGAGUAAGAUUGAUGGACAUUGUUGACUACUCAAUUAAUACUGUUAGGAAUAUAUAAUGCCAAUCUAUGUGAUUUUAUCUAACAACCCUCAAUUGGCAGGAUGUAAGCUCAAAGGAAAUUAGUAGGGUCUUGACCAACAUGCGAGAAGGGAUGGAGAGAGGGACAUAGAAAUUAAAGACAUUGAUAACAAAAUGAUUUUAAUGAUUGUCUCUGGAACUUAAGCAGGAAAAGAAGAAAGCUGAAAACACACUGAGGAUUAUGGGAGAGGGGCAAGUGCAUGAAGCUUCUCAAUGACAUACAGACACUCUAAAAGCUCAAGAGAUCAAUUAUUCAACUUCAAGAACUGAAAUUUGAACACAGAUUUUGAGCUUCCAAAUCAGACUGCUGUUAAACUGGCUCACUCCAUAUACUCUGUGCUACAGCAAUUUAAUAUUUCAUUAAAAAGCAUUAAUGAUGGCUCCAGUGAAUUUCUCCUAUUCAAGCUCCAUAAUGACAGCAGUUCAAGCGAGUGUUGAUCUCUGAGUGAUGCAACACAAAAACAUCGCCUAACAAAGGAACACUUGGAGUACUACUCAUAUUCUCUGCAACUUGAGGUAAAGUUGGAGAGCUAGCUGCUGAGUGGUACCUUGUAAUUUAAUUGAAUAAGAAAAGACCUUCUAAUUUAUACUCAAUAAAUGAAUUGCUGUAGUAGGUACGUCACAUUUAUAUUAUAUAUCAAUAAUAGAUUAAACAAUUGCUAUAAAGCUUGCUCUUUCAAAAGAGUUUCUAAAGGCAACACAUCUCUGUUUAUGCUUUUAACUUUAAAAGAAAGUCAAAAGUUACUCCGUGAGAAAAUAUCUUGUUGCUUUAGAAACAUAUGAUUACCUAUCUGAUGAAACAAUAAAUAUUUAUUAAA